rnacentral:lncRNA from 1 species
AUCAUUCAUUUUAUAUAUUUUAUUUUUUUAUAAAUAAAAAAAAGUAUACGUUUUAGUCAUGGCAACGAACGGAAGGAGUACUGUAUAUAUUAGAACUUUCAAAUUAUUUAGAAUCGUAUGAAAAGGUGAGACGAUAUAUGUAUAGUGUUCAAUGCGGUCAGACAGAAGUCAAAAGGCGCGUUCAGUUCAUACGCGCUACGUUGGAAAUAUUUUACGAUCCG